UACAGAGGGGGCAAGCGUUAUUCGGAAUUAUUGGGCGUAAAGGGCGCGUAGGCGGCUUGGCAAGUGGAAGGUGAAAUCCCUCGGCUUAACCGAGGAACUGCCUUCCAGACUGCUUUGCUUGAGGCCGGGAGAGGUGAGUGGAAUUCCCAGUGUAGCGGUGAAAUGCGUAGAGAUCGGGAGGAACACCUGUGGCGAAGGCGGCCGACUGGGCCGACCCUGACGCUGAGGCGCGAAGGCGUGGGGAGCGAACGGG
rnacentral:rRNA from 1 species